rnacentral:sRNA from 1 species
CAUUACAGAGUUCAUGCCCUUCGGGGUAGAUCUCCCACCCUUGUGUAUCAUUAUAGAAUGUUGCUUUGGCGGGCCGCGCCUAGUUGUGCCUGGAUUCGCGUCCAGCGUGCCCGCCAGAGGACCCCUAAACUCUGAAUGUUAGUGUCGCCUGAGUACUAUUAAAUAGUUAAAACUUUCAACAACGGAUCUCUUGGUUCUGGCAUCGAUGAAGAACGCAGCGAAAUGCGAUAAGUAAUGUGAAUUGCAGAAUUCAGUGAAUCAUCGAAUCUUUGAACGCACAUUGCGCCCCCUGGUAUUCCGGGGGGCAUGCCUGUUCGAGCGUCAUUUAUACCAAUCUAGCCUGGCUAGGUGUUGGGCUUCGCCGUCUGGCGGGCCUUAAAACUAGUGGCGGUGCUCUUAGGCUCUACGCGUAGUAACUUUCUCGCUAUAGGGUCCUGGGAGAUGCUUGCCAGCAACCCCAAAUUUUUCUAGGUUGACCUCGGAUCAGGUAGGGAUACCCGCUGAACUUAAGCAUAUC